rnacentral:tRNA from 1 species
GUCCUGUUAGUACAAUUGGCAAGUACAUUUGUCUUCGAACAAAAUAUUGGGGUUCAAAUCCCCAGCAGGACA